rnacentral:rRNA from 1 species
UUGGAGGGCAAGUCUGGUGCCAGCAGCCGCGGUAAUUCCAGCUCCAAUAGCGUAUAUUAAAGUUGUUGCAGUUAAAAAGCUCGUAGUUGAAUUUCGGGAUCAAUUUAUCGGUCGUGCCUCUGGUAUGCACUGGUAUUAUUGAUUUCUACCUUCUGACGAACCAUGAUGUCAUUAAUUUGGUGUCAUGGGGAAUCAGGACUGUUACUUUGAAAAAAUUAGAGUGUUUAAAGCAAGCACACGCUUGAAUACAUUAGCAUGGAAUAAUGAAAUAGGACGUUUGACCCUAUUUUGUUGGUUUCUAGGAUCGACGUAAUGAUUAAUAGGGAUAGUUGGGGGCAUUAGUAUUCAAUUGUCAGAGGUGAAAUUCUUGGAUUUAUUGAAGACUAACUACUGCGAAAACAUUUGCCAAGGAUGUUUUCAUUAAUCAAGAACGAAAGUUAGGGGAUCGAAGACGAUCAGAUACCGUCGUAGUCUUAACCAUAAACUAUGCCGACUAGGGAUCGGAUGAUGUUAAUUUUUUAAUGACUCAUUCGGCGCCUUACGGGAAAC